GAUGAACGCUGGCGGCGUGCCUAAUACAUGCAAGUCGAGCGAACAGACGAGGAGCUUGCUCCUCUGACGUUAGCGGCGGACGGGUGAGUAACACGUGGAUAACCUACCUAUAAGACUGGGAUAACUUCGGGAAACCGGAGCUAAUACCGGAUAAUAUAUUGAACCGCAUGGUUCAAUAGUGAAAUACGGUUUUGCUGUCACUUAUAGAUGGAUCCGCGCCGCAUUAGCUAGUUGGUAAGGUAACGGCUUACCAAGGCAACGAUGCGUAGCCGACCUGAGAGGGGGUCCGGCCACACUGGAACUGAGACACGGUCCAGACUCCUACGGGAGGCAGCAGUAGGGAAUCUUCCGCAAUGGGCGAAAGCCUGACGGAGCAACGCCGCGUGAGUGAUGAAGGUCUUCGGAUCGUAAAACUCUGUUAUUAGGGAAGAACAAAUGUGUAAGUAACUAUGCACGUCUUGACGGUACCUAAUCAGAAAGCCACGGCUAACUACGUG
rnacentral:rRNA from 1 species